rnacentral:lncRNA from 1 species
UUUGCAUAAAACAGACCCAAUCCCUUUGUGGGUCAGAUGUUACCACCUUUAAAAAAAUGUUUUUUAACUCUCCUUUCUGUCCCACUGAAAAAUUUAUUUUGAAAGGGUUAAGAAGAGUCUAUCAUUGCUGGUCAAAAUCGGCCUGAGGAUGGCCGCCAGGGGCAGAGGCCUGAAGGCAUCAUCUGGGCAGGCCUGGAAGCCCACGGGGUGCAGCAUCCUCAAGCCCAGGGGCGGGAGUGCCUCCGGCCUGCCCUCCAGGGAAGCUGCAUGUGGACUCCACGGUAUUCAGCCUCCAGUUUAGUCAGCCUUGAGUCUGGGCUGCUCCCGCGCCUGGUGUUUUAUGCAUGUGAUAUAUGUGUAUCCAUCCUGCUUCCCUGCCUUCAAGGGAAGACUUAACUCUCCGAGAGAAAACCUGCCUGGAGCUGCGCACAUUCUCACAGCUUGAGAACGCUUGACGCAGGAAGUCACCAGAGUACUCAAGUCAACCGCAAACUAGUGGUUACAAAAUGGGAGCUUUAAAAAAAGUGCUCUACUAGAACUGGGUGUCCUCACAGUCGGGAGCAGAAGGCUGGGGCUGCUGUGCAGGCCUGCGGCUCUGUGGCGCCUCUCUGCAAAGGCUCGGGUCCGCCUUCCAGACUGCAGGCUGCCGUGUGUGCUGUGGAGGAUGCCACAGUGUUAAGGCUGACCAGGACCAGAAGGUGACACUGGGCUCUCCUGCUACGUCUCGCCACUUAUAGCAGAUCCCUAGGCCACACUCCUUCCAAGCCACUUUGCAAACUGUUUCCCUGUUGUGGGGCCAGCAGGAGCUACAAGGGCCGAAGGCAGCUCUGCCGGGGCUGGACCGGUUUUGUGGCAUUCGAGGAGAGGUCUGGGAAAGGCCACGCAGGCAGUGAAGGUCUUUUCCCACGUCCAAUUUUACGGGACGACUGGGGUUUGAAGAUGGAAUCUAGAAACCCUCCUCUCCCCUUUUUUAAGUAAAGAGAAAAGAAAAGGAGACCUUUGCCUCACGUGAGAACAGGUGGAGAAUCAGCGCUGUGGCGGCCACUAGCGGCGUUAUCUCCCGGAUGUGCAUGGGAGAGAGAUGGCAGCUUCUGGACAGACAAGGAUGACACAGGUUCUUUGCUCCUUUGCAGCUGGGAUGAAUGUUCAAGUUGAGGCACAGUGUGGUCAGCGCAGCCACUCAGCCUGCUCCACUGCGGGACACCUUGGAGGGGCCAGGCCUCUGCUCCCAGCUGGCCCCAGCCCACGGAGGCGGCAGGCGGCUGGAGCGCCCUGGCAGGCGGGUCUGGUCCGGAUGGCUCCUCACUGGGCUAUGCGCUAACUGCUUUGAUGGACAAGCACCCCACCCCGAUUAGCUCAAUGGCUUGAUGAGCUGUACACAGCCAGGCUGGUGCGGAACCGUGAGAAAGGAACGGUUUGGCUAUAGGAGCUAGUGAUUCGGGGCUCGCCCUUUACGUCCCCAUGAAGAUCCGGCACAAGGCAGGUGCCCGUCGCCUUCGGAAGGAAGGGCGGGAGUCGCUGAUCUGCUUGAGAGGCGCCAGCCUGCAUCCCAGCAUCCACUGCAGCACUCACGUUUCCGUCUGGGUGAAUCUUAGGCUGGGAGGAGGGAAUUCUCACCAGCCACAUGAUUCCAGGGUCCCACCUUGCACCCUCUUGGCCUGUGUGGAUGAGGGCCCAUGCUGAAACCUUCUUUAACAUAUGUGCGAAGGAAGGUGAUGCCCUGGCCCCCAAACUGAGACAAGGGCGAGUUCUGCAGAGCCGGAAUUCUCAUUGGGAGGGUGAGAGUGGCAGCUCUGCUGUUGGCCUGGCCCAAAACAGAACGGAAAUGCACCCUCAUCACGAGUGGUCCAGAUGGUCUAGCGCCAGGGUGAGGCAGGCACCGGGUGGAGGAGGGGACAGAAAGCUGUGAGGAGGACCCACGCAGGGGUUCUGGGCAGCUCCCUGAUGCCAGCCAGGCCAGUGAUACGAAGAGAAAGGCUAAUAAAUAGAUGCACGUGACGAGCGCCGGGCAGCCCCGGACCAGGUCGCGUAGGACGCACCAGAUGCCGCUGUGGCUCCCGCACCCGGGCGCAGGUGAUCAGUUCCUCUAGUAAAGAUAUACAAACGAAGUUACUUCUUUUCAAGUAUUAAAAAAUAAGUUAAUUGACAAAAAGGGUUUGAAGCGGCUGAGCGUCUUGCCAGGUUGUCAGCUUCAUUUCAAUGUGCAAACACAGGAAAAACACGGAGGAAAAGGUCAUCUCCUGUCCCGACAUAAAUGUGGAACAGGGACAAUGCCUGUCUGCCAACUGGGGGCUUAGAAUGUAGGGCCUCAUCCUGUCCCCCAAAGUCAGCAUUUUCCAGUGUCAAAAUGGUUGUGAACUACAAGCAAAAUGCAGCAACCCACAAGCCUCAGGCCACAGCCAGCAAGCGGCCCAGGCAUUUGGCCACUUAGGGUCCAGUGUGUGGUGUUCGGCUGGAGGGCAGACCCCUCCUGCGUCCUCCUAAUUUGCAUAAUAAUUCAGGAGCCUGCCCGCACCUCCAUGUCUCCUGUGAUGCUGGGGUGGGCAUGACUGGACGCCCCCAUCCUGGGUCUCGAUCGCACCCUGACCCCUGACCCUGCUUUCAUGGGGUAUUGUUUACGUUUCUUUGGUGGUGCUCCAGGGAGCAUGAAGAAGACAGUGCCCCUCGCACGGCGCACUGUGGUUCUGACGGGGAGCAGCUUCCCUCUCUUACCAAAUGUGCCAGUGGAAAAAAGGGGCACAGCCAGCACAUCCUCAGGGAGCGCGCGGGGUGGUCCCCUGCGUCAUGCCAUACACGCCGUGCUCCUCCUCUGAGUGGGAGGUCCAGGUGGGCCUCCUCCCAGGAGGUGGAGCCGUCUCAGAUAACCACUGUCACCUGGGGCUCCCCACUGCACGCGGGACUCGACCACUUUCCAAGCAGCACACGGGCAUCUGAGCAUAAACUCCAAGGAGGUGCCAGGCCUCCUCAGAUCGAGGCUCCGGGUGGUUUGGAUGCCACUGCCUGGCCAGGCGGAUGCCAACAGAAAAUGGAGCGUUGGGUGGGAGCUCAGGACCAGUUAAGGCUGAAGCCCUUGGACAACAUGGCAGCCUCCAGGUCCUUGUCCUCCUCUCUCUCCCGGAGCCGCUGCUCCUCCAGCAGCGCCACCAGUGAGUCUCUCUGCUCCACCACCUCCAGCAUCUCAUUGAGAAUCUGCUUCUCUUCUGACAGCUCCUCCUCAGUCUUAAGGUGAUCUUGAAGGAGAAGAAGGCAUGAGGUGAGGGGCCUGGAGGUGGCACCCACCCUGGCCUCCAUGGGUGCCUUACCCCACUCACCUUCCACUGCCAUGCGUUCCCGGAGCUCCUGCUGCAGUCGACUCUGCCGGUCUUCCAGCUCCAGCUCCCGGGCACUGAGGAGGCAGGGCAGGAGGGAGACAAGCCACAGUGAUUGGGGACCACCCCUCACCCCCAAAUCCGGAAGGACCUCCAUGCCUGCUGUGACAAGCAUAGCGCCGACGCCCCCUACCCAAGGCCACUCACAAGAUCAUCAGCUCCGACUCGUAGCGCACCAUGGCGUUCUUCUCCUGCACUAGCUUGAACCACUCCUGCAUCAGCUUGGGGUCGUCCUUCUUGCCCAUGCCUGCCGAGAGAACGCUUGUGUCGGGUGCAGGGAGUGCCGCGCCCACCCUGGCCCGCAGGAAUCACACGGGGCAAAUGUGCAAAGAGGGCCGAGCAAGAUGCUGCCGGAACUUCCACUCCCAAGCCAGGCCCAAGGUUUGCCUGCAGCCAUAGGGCCCUGGCGUCCCCCUUCCCGGGGCCUGCGCUUUCCCGUGUCCUGCCAUCCCUGUUCACCCCGUCUGCAACCUCGCCAGUGGGGACCUUGCCCUCCCCGGGGCUGGUUUCUACCCCUCCUGCUCUGUGUGCUCUCUUAGGAUGACUUACAUUGCUUUCCCUCUUUUUUGCCACUCAAUGUUUAUUUGGCACUUGCUAUGUACUAGGUCUCCUUGGAGGAAACCCGUCUUGUAAACGAGACAAAUGUGAAUUUGUAAACUGCACCCUGCCCUCAGGUCAUGCUCAUUUAACUCAGCUCUUUCUUGGGCUACUGCCCCUCUCCAGGGGCCACCAGAAUAGAUGCCUUGUCAUUUGUUUACCUCCUGACCAGGAAGAGAAGACACCACCCCUUAACUUGUGGCCUAUCAAGCUUCUGGAUGCUCUCCCGCUGGAUCCCGCAAGGUCGAUGCAGGGCAUCUCAGGAUGGCCGCAGGGUUUCUCACCAAGAGCAGAGAAACACUAGCAGCCCCUGGGGAUGGAAGGAGGUGGCCACGCCCUGCCCUGGUCCAAUCCAACAGAAUGCCUGUGUCUGGUGGCUGCCUGCUAGCUCAGGCUGCCUGAACCAACAGGUGCCGAUACCAAACCUCCCCCAGGGACGGCCUGACCGCUGGGCCUCACUGUGGCAGGAGGACAGAAGGAAGAAGUCUCCAAGGGACCAAGCCACCCAAGGAGAGAAUAAGGUCCUUUUCCUUGGAGCACAGAAGUUCAUGGCAAAAGUGUGGUCCUGCCUAAAAUACAUGCUGUGUCAGUGGCUCUUCAAUAUUUUUGGAUUACAAACCACUUUGAGAAUCUCAUAAAAGCUAGGUACUCUCUUCCUAGAAAAAUGCUUAUGUGUGCAGAGCAAACCAUUUGAUGCAGAGUUCCAAGCUGCUCCUGGGCUUCCUGGGGUCCAUCCAUGGGCCUCAGGUUAAGGGGCACUAGACGGGGACAUCUUUCAGAGGCCCUUGCACUCUCUGCGUCCCUUGGCAGGGGGCGUUCUAGGCCAGUUAAGACAAGCCCAGGAGUGUGAGGAACACAGCCUCAGAAGGGCCAGCCACAGCCCGAGUCCUCCCUCACUGCUAGCUGCCUUUCUCCACCUGCCUUUCUGGCAUACGGUACACAGACACAUCUCUUAUCUGCAGUGGUGUCUGCUAGACAGUUAGUCUCUACCCAGUGGCCACACCAAGGAGGCAGAAAUGCACCAUGUUCAACAAGCAGGGGUUAGUGUCUGUACUGUGCCCUAGUGCACAUGCGGUUCUGCUCCCAAGGGGGUUCCUGCCCCUGAGCCUCCUCUGAAGGACGGAAACCCCCCAGCCUGUCCAGCCUGCAACUGUGGAGUGUGUGCCUGAGGGUCAGGGGACCAGCGCUCUCCUCACCCAAUCCAAUAGGCUUGGGUCUUGGCCUUUAAGCCAGCCCCCACUCAGUUCCAUGCAUUGCUUUCGGAGCGUCUCUGCACAAUGUGCCCACAUGGCCGUGGAGGAGGGGCCCGAGGCAUGCAAGCUGUCCAGUGCGCCCGAACACAGCGGCACCAGGGAGUCUCUCCCGCUGCCCACCUCCCCACGAAGAUACAGAAAAUGCCACCGGAGACGUGCGGACAGCGCUCACUAGCUAUGGAGAGCUCGCCCACGGCCGCCGGGCAGGGGCUGUGGUGUGUGAGCGAGAGUCGGGUGAGCGCUGUGGACGGCAGGUAAGAGUUAGCAGGGUUAGUCACGGCCACACCCCCCACAUGCCUUUCAACGACAAUCUUAUCACCACAACAGACUUCAAAUCAGACAAACUUAAAACACACACACUCAGCAAGACACGAGAUAGAGAGGUUUGCUUUCAGUGGUUGUUUGGAAAGGGGCCCGAGGGCACUGGUGUAGAUCAGUCUUUGUAAGGACAGUAUUCCUUGACUCUCCCAUCCAAAUUGCUGCACGCAGGCGGGAGGCUCCUCACCUGCAUCCCUGCCCCUCUAUCUGAUGGAUCUGAGACUUAAAGCCCCAGCCACGAAGGGCCAGCCAAUGCUGCAGCCCUGAAGGACCCAGACCUGGAGGCUCUCUGGCUUUACUCUGCACCCUGGUCCUCCCCAUAGACAGUCAAAGGGAUACUGUACCUUUAGAAACUGCCACAGACUCAUGACAUUUUGUAACAGGACUAUUGAGGGUCAGAGAGAAAGAAAGAGAGAGAGGUAGGUGGGUUCUGGCUCUGUGUUUGACUAGUGUUGCUACACCCCCUCCGAGGCAGUGGGGAUGGGGUUGGCGAGGUUACGUUACCUUCCUGGACACAGCAAGGGCAGAAGGAGAGAGGUCUACGUCGUGGAGUCCCGCCACUGGGCUCAACUUCAAAAGGGACCAAGCAAGGAAGAGGAGGAGACGGAGAAAGACAAAAAAGGAAGAGGAGGAGAGGAGCAGGAAUUUGGAAGUGGAGAGGGACAGGGAGAAGCAGAAACAAGGGAAACAAAGUCUACAAAUGAAUUAAGUCCUUUUUUC